rnacentral:lncRNA from 10 species
CUGCACUCCAGCCUGGGCAACAGGGCAAGACUCUGUCUCAAAAUAAAUAAAUAAAUAAAAAUAAAAUCCUGGACUCAAGUGAUCUGCCUGCCUCAGCCUCCCAAAGUGCUGGGAUUACAGGCAUGAGCCACCAUGCCCGACCAACACCAGGUUUUAAUUGAUAAGUAAGCAAGGAUAAGGAACAGAUUCUGUACACACGGAAAAAUACAGAGAAAAUUAUAUGCUAGUGAUUAAAGAAAUGUCCAUUUCACACUAGAAUCAUUUUUAUGGACCAUAUCACACCUUAUGAUCCUGUUUUUCUACCCCUGUAUUAGUCCAUUCUCACACAACCACCACUAUUAAAUUAAUUAAAAAUAAGUUAAACCCAAAGUUGACAGAGCAAAAUCUCUGCAUCAUUGUCAACUGGCUCCAUCAUUCUGAAGAACAACCUGAUAAUGUGCCAGGGCCAGUUUCUGCUGUAAUUCAAUAAUUCCAUUAGAGGGUAUGGACUAAAAUGUCAUCACCCCUCACUUCUCACAGGCCCCUGUGCUGGUUUAUUUAUAGCACUUAUUGUGGUCUAAGUUAAAUAUGUCCUUUGUCGAUUCUGUUGAUUGCCUGUCUUCUCUUCCAGAACGUAAGUUCUAUGAGCUCUGCCAGUGACCUGGUUUGUCAGGUUCUAAACAAACAAGUACUUAUCCCCACCCGCAAUAGGUAGAGUAUAUAAAAUUUAUAACAGCAUAAUUGAUAACUGUAAAAACCAGAAUCUACAUGCCCAGAGGAUAACUAAACAAACUAGAAUAUAAUGAUAGCAUAAAAUGCUGAAUAGCUUUUUUUUUUGAGACUGAGUUUUGCUCUUGUUGCCCAGGCUAGAGCACAAUGGUGCAUUCUCGGCUCACUGCAACCUCCGCCUCCUGGGUUCAAG